rnacentral:rRNA from 1 species
AUAAGGUUAAGUGAAUAAGGGCGCACGGUGGAUGCCUUGGCACUAGGAGCCGAUGAAGGACGGGACGAACACCGAUAUGCUUUGGGGAGCUGUAAGUAAGCUUUGAUCCAGAGAUUUCCGAAUGGGGGAACCCAGCAUCUUUGAUAGGAUGUUACUUAGCAGUGAAUACAUAGCUGUUAAGAGGUAGACGCAGAGAACUGAAACAUCUAAGUACCUGCAGGAAGAGAAAGAAAAUUCGAUUCCCUGAGUAGCGGCGAGCGAAACGGGAAAAGCCCAAACCAAGAUGCUUGCAUCUUGGGGUUGUAGGACUCCGAUAUGGUAGUCUUUUUAGCUAGUCGAACAACUUGGAAAAGUUGGCCAGAGUGGGUAAAAGCCCCGUAGACGAAAGGUAAAAAGCACCUAGGAGGAUCCUGAGUACGGCGGAACACGAGGAAUUCCGUCGGAAUCCGGGAGGACCAUCUCCCAAGGCUAAAUACUCCCUAGUGACCGAUAGUGAACCAGUACCGUGAGGGAAAGGUGAAAAGCACCCCGGAAGGGGAGUGAAAUAGAACCUGAAACCGUGUGCCUACAACAAGUUAAAGCCCGUUAAUGGGUGAUAGCGUGCCUUUUGUAGAAUGAACCGGCGAGUUACGAUUGCAUGCGAGGUUAAGUUGAAGAGACGGAGCCGCAGCGAAAGCGAGUCUGAAUAGGGCGAAUGAGUAUGUAGUCGUAGACCCGAAACCAUGUGAUCUACCCAUGUCCAGGUUGAAGGUGCGGUAAAACGCACUGGAGGACCGAACCCACGUACGUUGAAAAGUGCGGGGAUGAGGUGUGGGUAGCGGAGAAAUUCCAAACGAACUUGGAGAUAGCUGGUUCUCUCCGAAAUAGCUUUAGGGCUAGCGUCGAAGUUGAGAAUGAUGGAGGUAGAGCACUGUUUGGACUAGGGGCCCAUCUCGGGUUACCGAAUUCAGAUAAACUCCGAAUGCCAUUCAUUCAUAUUCGGCAGUCAGACUGUGAGUGAUAAGAUCCAUAGUCGAAAGGGAAACAGCCCAGACCACCAGCUAAGGUCCCAAAAUAACUAUUAAGUGGAAAAGGAUGUGGGGUUGCACAGACAACUAGGAUGUUGGCUUAGAAGCAGCCAUCAUUUAAAGAGUGCGUAAUAGCUCACUAGUCGAGUGACCCUGCGCCGAAAAUGUACCGGGGCUAAAUAGUUUACCGAAGCUGUGGAGUGCAUCGAAGAUGCAUUGGUAGGAGAGCGUUCUAAGGGCGUUGAAGGUAGAUCGUGAGGACUACUGGAGCGCUUAGAAGUGAGAAUGCCGGUAUGAGUAGCGAAAGACAGGUGAGAAUCCUGUCCACCGUAUGACUAAGGUUUCCUGGGGAAGGCUCGUCCGCCCAGGGUUAGUCGGGACCUAAGCCGAGGCCGAAAGGCGUAGGCGAUGGACAACAGGUUGAUAUUCCUGUACCCGUUGCUUUUGUUUGAACAAUGGAGGGACGCAGGAGGCUAAGGAAAGCAGACGAUUGGAAAUGUCUGUCCAAGCAACGAGUCUGAGUGAGAGUCAAAUGCUUUCAUUCGCGACGGAUGAGUUGUGAUGGGGAGGGAAAUAAUAGUACCGAAGUUCCUGAUGUCACACUGCCAAGAAAAGCUUCUAGUGAGAAAGUAACGGCCCGUACCGCAAACCGACACAGGUAGUCGAGGAGAGUAUCCUAAGGUGAGCGAGAGAACUCUCGUUAAGGAACUCGGCAAAAUGACCCCGUAACUUCGGGAGAAGGGGUGCUGCUCUACGAGCAGCCGCAGUGAAUAGGCCCAAGCGACUGUUUAUCAAAAACACAGGUCUCUGCAAAAUCGAAAGAUGACGUAUAGGGGCUGACGCCUGCCCGGUGCUGGAAGGUUAAGAGGAGUGCUUAGCGCAAGCGAAGGUACGAAUUGAAGCCCCAGUAAACGGCGGCCGUAACUAUAACGGUCCUAAGGUAGCGAAAUUCCUUGUCGGGUAAGUUCCGACCCGCACGAAAGGCGUAACGAUUUGGGCACUGUCUCAACGAGAGACUCGGUGAAAUUUUAGUACCUGUGAAGAUGCAGGUUACCCGCGACAGGACGGAAAGACCCCAUGGAGCUUUACUGUAGUUUGAUAUUGAGUGUCUGUACCGCAUGUACAGGAUAGGUAGGAGCCGUAGAAAUCGGGACGCUAGUUUCGAUGGAGGCAAUGGUGGGAUACUACCCUUGCGUUAUGGCCACUCUAACCCGCACCACUAAUCGUGGUGGGAGACAGUGUCAGAUGGGCAGUUUGACUGGGGCGGUCGCCUCCUAAAGAGUAACGGAGGCGCCCAAAGGUUCCCUCAGAAUGGUUGGAAAUCAUUCGAAGAGUGUAAAGGCAGAAGGGAGCUUGACUGCGAGAGCUACAACUCGAGCAGGGACGAAAGUCGGGCUUAGUGAUCCGGUGGUUCCGCAUGGAAGGGCCAUCGCUCAACGGAUAAAAGCUACCCUGGGGAUAACAGGCUUAUCUCCCCCAAGAGUCCACAUCGACGGGGAGGUUUGGCACCUCGAUGUCGGCUCGUCGCAUCCUGGGGCUGUAGUCGGUCCCAAGGGUUGGGCUGUUCGCCCAUUAAAGCGGCACGCGAGCUGGGUUCAGAACGUCGUGAGACAGUUCGGUCCCUAUCCGUCGCGGGCGUUGGAAAUUUGAGAGGAGCUGUCCUUAGUACGAGAGGACCGGGAUGGACUUACCGCUGGUGUACCAGUUGUCUCGCCAGAGGCAUCGCUGGGUAGCUAUGUAGGGAAGGGAUAAACGCUGAAAGCAUCUAAGUGUGAAGCCCACCUCAAGAUGAGAUUUCCCAUUUCUUUAAGAAAGUAAGAACCCUGAAAGAUGAUCAGGUAGAUAGGUCAGAAGUGGAAGUGCAGUGAUGUACGGAGCGGACUGAUACUAAU